UACGACUACAUAUCAGGCAUAUCAAUAAGCGGAGGAAAAGAAACUAACUAGGAUUCCCUUAGUAACGGCGAGUGAAGCGGGAAGAGCUCAAAUUUGAAAUCUUAAAGGUUUCCCUUGACGAAUUGUAGUUUAAAGAAGUGUUUUCUGUUGGAGUUUCGGUAAAAGUUCUUUGGAAUAGGACAUCAUAGAGGGUGAGAAUCCCGUAUUUGACCAUUACUUCCAGCGUUGUGAUACACUUUCAAAGAGUCGGAUUGUUAGGGAAUGCAGUCCAAAAUGGGUGGUAAAUUUCAUCUAAAGCUAAAUAUUGGCGAGAGACCGAUAGCGAACAAGUACCGUGAGGGAAAGAUGAAAAGAACUUUGAAAAGAGAGUUAAACAGUACGUGAAAUUGUCAAAGGGGAAGCGUUUGACACCAGUGUUGUUUUCUCGAAAAUCACUUAAAAAUGGCCGGAUUUUGUGUUGUAUUGACUUUAUCAAGCUUUCUUCACUUUUUUCUUGUCUUUUUUAAUGCACUUUUCGUUUAACAAGUCAACAUCAGUUUCUUUUGUUGUAAAAGAGUCAUUGGAUGGUGGCUUUCAUUUCGGAUGAAAGUGUUUAUAGCCUUUGACUUCCUACAAUCGGAGAGAUUGAGGUCUGCAGCGUAGAUCCUUCGGGGUUAGAUACGUAGAUGCUAAGUUAUAGUUUUUUAUAGACAACUUGUUGACUAUGAUUAAUCAUGUAGCUUACUCGUUUACGCUAUUUUACCUACGCUUAGGAUGUUGAUCUCUCACAGUCGAGC
rnacentral:rRNA from 1 species